GAUUUCUGGUUUGGAAUGCUUGGCCCGCCUCGGUUACGAGUGUGAGUGCCGAUGUGUUCCUACCAUCUUUCUACAGAACGGCCUCACCCUUCACUGGACUGGGGACGCGAUGUAGAUCUAUUACUUUGAAAAAAUUAGAGUGUUUAAAGCAGGCGUUUGCUUCUGAAUACAUUAGCAUGGAAUAAUAAUUUAGGACUUUGGUUCUAUUUUGUUGGUUUCUAGGACUGAAGUAAUGAUUGAUAGGGAUAGUUGGGGGUGCUAGUAUUCAGCGGCCAGAGGUGAAAUUCUCGGAUUCGCUGAAGACUAACUUAUGCGAAAGCAUU
rnacentral:rRNA from 1 species